rnacentral:misc_RNA from 1 species
CUCUCCACCUGCCCGAUAUGGCGCAUAAAAGAGACGGCGCGCUGUUCGAAAUCAAGCUUCGGCGUCAAGGAGCCAACGUUGAAGAAAGCAGCGAAGAACAUGGAACGCGCCUGCAAGUGUGGAGACCCCAAGUGCGUUUGCACGACCCAGUGCAAGUGCUCAACUGGAGGAUGCCCUUGUGGCAAGUGCAAGAAGUAGGAGAUUCAUAAUGGAGGGAGGCUGCGACGCUUCAUCCAGAGAAACCAGUAACGAAUCAUGUUGCAUGGACCCGCGAAAAUAUCGACGGCGCAACUAGGAAGAAACCAAGUGCGCUUUGCGCAUGGACCUUGAGAUCUGAUUAGGCGCCAUGGCGGCAGUAGCCAUAGCGAAUGGAUGGGCAUCCAAUAAACGAUUGUAAAGAUA